GAAUGGAAAGGGAACGUUGUGGCUCUUAAAUAAUGACUUUGCCUUUUUCACUUCCUGAUUAUUUCCAAAGACACUAUCACUUUUGAGCUAGAUCGGCUGAGCACACGUCUGAAC